rnacentral:rRNA from 1 species
CCUACGGGCGGCAGCAGUGGGGCAUAUUGCGCAAUGGGCGAAAGCCUGACGCAGCGACGCCGCGUGAGGGAUGAAGGUCUUCGGAUUGUAAACCUCUGUCAGCAGGGAAGAACGGUCACUGUGCUAAUCAGCAGUGAAUUGACGGUACCUGCAAAGGAAGCACCGGCUAACUCCGUGCAAGCAGCCGCGCUAAUACGGAGGGUGCGAGCGUUAACCGGAAUUACUGGGCGUAAAGCGCGCGUAGGCGGUAUGUCAAGUCAAGUGUGAAAUACCCGCGCUAAACGUGGGAACUGCCUUUGAAACUGGCAAACUGGAGUGUGUGAGAGGAUAGUGGAAUUCCAGGUGUAGGAGUGAAAUCCGUAGAUAUCUGGAGGAACAUCAGGGGCGAAGGCGACUAUCUGGCACAUAACUGACGCUGAGGAGCGAAAGCGUGGGUAGCAAACAGGAUUAGAUACCCGAGUAGUC